CCGACGUGGACAUCCAGCGAGUUGCUCUCCUUGGCUCUGUCCGUGCGGCGUACGGGAGCGUAGCCUCCGGCCGAGACGUACAUUCCCCUUCCGCGCCGUCGGAGAAUAAGUUCCGUCCCCGACUUAAGCGGUCGGCGAGGACCAACGUCCUGCAUAUUCCUACACCUUCCCAGAGUCUUGUGGGACCAUGACUGGGGAGAUAAACCAUGCAGUGCACAUUU